rnacentral:lncRNA from 1 species
GAUUGCAGUGGUCCGAUAAUAUCCAUCCCCUAUUUCUUGAAUGGCAGCAAGGAGAUGACCGAAUGUAAGGGUUCCAUCGGUUGAUGAAUUAAUGGUGCAUAAUGCUAGGGUUUAUCUCAUUUUCAUAUGAAAUCUUUAGAGUCAUGUUUCAUGCGGGGUUAGUAAUAUCCUGCCCUUACCAACUUCAGUACUUAGGAAUCUGC